rnacentral:rRNA from 1 species
GGAUGAACGCUGGCGGCGUGCCUACUACAUGCAAGUCGAGCGAACAGACGAGGAGCUUGCUCCUCUGACGUUAGCGGCGGACGGGUGAGUAACACGUGGAUAACCUACCUAUAAGACUGGGAUAACUUCGGGAAACCGGAGCUAAUACCGGAUAAUAUAUUGAACCGCAUGGUUCAAUAGUGAAAGACGGUUUUGCUGUCACUUAUAGAUGGAUCCGCGCCGCAUUAGCUAGUUGGUAAGGUAACGGCUUACCAAGGCAACGAUGCGUAGCCGACCUGAGGGGGUGAUCGGCCACACUGGAACUGAGACACGGUCCAGACUCCUACGGGAGGCAGCAGUAGGGAAUCUUCCGCAAUGGGCGAAAGCCUGACGGAGCAACGCCGCGUGAGUGAUGAAGGUCUUCGGAUCGUAAAACUCUGUUAUUAGGGAAGAACAAAUGUGUAAGUAACUAUGCACGUCUUGACGGUACCUAAUCAGAAAGCCACGGCUAACUACGUG